rnacentral:rRNA from 1 species
GCGCGGGGCAACCUGGCGGCGAGCGGCGAACGGGUGAGUAAUGCAUCGGAACAUGUCCAUUCGUGGGGGAUAGCCCGGCGAAAGCCGGAUUAAUACCGCAUACGCCCGAGAGGGGAAAGUGGGGGACCGCAAGGCCUCACGCGAUUGGGUUGGCCGAUGUCCGAUUAGCUAGUUGGCGGGGUAAAGGCCCACCAAGGCGAUGAUCGGUAGCUGGUCUGAGAGGAUGAUCAGCCACACUGGGACUGAGACACGGCCCAGACUCCUACGGGAGGCAGCAGUGGGGAAUUUUGGACAAUGGGGGAAACCCUGAUCCAGCCAUUCCGCGUGAGUGAAGAAGGCCUUCGGGUUGUAAAGCUCUUUUGUCCGGAACGAAACGGUGGACGUGAAUAUCGUCCACUACUGACGGUACCGGAAGAAUAAGCACCGGCUAACUACGUGCCAGCAGCCGCGGUAAUACGUAGGGUGCGAGCGUUAAUCGGAAUUACUGGGCGUAAAGCGUGCGCAGGCGGUUUUGUAAGCCAGAUGUGAAAUCCCCGGGCUCAACCUGGGAAUGGCAUUUGGGACUGCAAGGCUGGAGUUUGGCAGAGGAGACUGGAAUUCCUGGUGUAGCAGUGAAAUGCGUAGAUAUCAGGAGGAACACCGAUGGCGAAGGCAGGUCUCUGGGCUGAAACUGACGCUCAUG